rnacentral:rRNA from 1 species
CCUACGGGAGGCAGCAGUGGGGAAUAUUGCACAAUGGGGGGAACCCUGAUGCAGCAACGCCGCGUGAGCGAUGAAGGUCUUCGGAUUGUAAAGCUCUGUCUUCGCUGACGAUAAUGACGGUAAGCGAGGAGGAAGCCACGGCUAACUACGUGCCAGCAGCCGCGGUAAUA